CGGGCAGGUGGGGCUCGUUAGCCGUGGUAGGCAAUCUGCCUAGGAGAGCAAACUCCGAACAACAAACCCGGGCAGGUGAGGUUCGUUAGCCGUGGUAGGCAAUUCACCUAGGAGAGCAAACUCCGAACAAUAAACCCGGGCAGGUGGAGGUCGUUAGCGAAAGCAGUUCACCUAGGAGAGCAAACUCCGAUUACAAAACCGGGCAGGUGGAGGUCGUUAGCGUGAGCAGUUCACCUAGGAGAGCAAACUCCGAUUACAAACCCGGGCAGGUGGAGGUCGUUAGCGAAAGCAAUUCAUCUAGGAGAGCAAACUCCGAUUACAAACCCGGGCAGGUGGAGGUCGUUAGCGAAAGCAGUUCACCUAGGAGAGCAAACUCCGAUUACAAAACCGGGCAGGUGAGGUUCGUUAGCCGUGGUA